GCACUGGCUUUGGCAGCAUAUACACUAAAUUUGGAAUGAUUCAGAGAACAUUAGCAUGGCCCUUGUGCAAGGAUGACACACAAAUUCAUAAAGCAUUCCAUAUUUUU
rnacentral:snRNA from 10 species